CACCGGCGCAAAGCCCCCGCCCUCGUGUUCAAGCUCGACUUCGCCAAGGCGUUCGACUCGGUCGAUUGGGGGGCACUCCGGCGCAUUCUCGAGGUACGCGGCUUCCCCGCCAGAUGGUGCGCUUGGAUGGACUUGAUCUUUCGGUCCUCCCGGUCGGCGGUUCUCCUCAACGUUGUGCCGGGGAAGUGGUUCACGGUGCGCCGCGGGCUGCGCCAAGGAGACCCAAGCUCGCCCUACCUCUUCCUUAUCGUCGCCGACGUCCUGCAACAGAUGAUCCGGGAAGACGGCGAGCUCCGCCACCCGCUGGUGGAGGGUGCCCCCCCUUUGGUGCUCCAGUACGCCGAUGACACGUUGGUCAUCCUCAGGGCGGAGCGUGGCGCGGCGGUCCGCCUUCGCCGCAUCCUCGACGAUUUCGCGGCCGCGACGGGGCUGGACAUAAACUUCUCCAAGAGCACGCUUGUCCCCAUGCCCGUGCCUCCGGAAGCGUUGAAGGAGACCGUUGGCGUGCUCGGCUGCGCCGUCCAGGGAUUCCCGCAGGCCUAUCUCGGGCUUCCGCUGUCGUGGGAAAAGCUCACCUUCGCCGACUUCCUCCCCAUGCUUGCGAGGGUGGACAAGUACCUGGCAGGCUAG
rnacentral:rRNA from 1 species